rnacentral:rRNA from 1 species
AUUGAACGCUGGCGGCGUGCCUAACACAUGCAAGUCGAGCGGUAACAGGUGUAGCAAUACAUGCUGACGAGCGGCGGACGGGUGAGUAACGCUUGGGAAUCUGCCUGUUAGUGGGGGACAACCCGGGGAAACUCGGGCUAAUACCGCAUACGCACUACGGUGGAAAGCCGGGGACCGCAAGGCCUGGCGCUAACAGAUGAGCCCAAGUCGGAUUAGCUAGUUGGUAGGGUAACGGCCUACCAAGGCGACGAUCCGUAACUGGUCUGAGAGGACGACCAGUCACACCGGAACUGAGACACGGUCCGGACUCCUACGGGAGGCAGCAGUGGGGAAUAUUGGACAAUGGGCGAAAGCCUGAUCCAGCGACGCCGCGUGGGUGAAGAAGGCCUGCGGGUUGUAAAGCCCUUUCGGUGGGGAAGAAAAGCCUCGAGUUAACACCGUCGGGUC